GGAUGUGAAGGCACUCUGGCUGUCACAUCUGUUACCCCAGUGAUCACCAGGGUAGAUUUACACUGACCUGGCUGCUAGGCUGGUGUCUCCUUCUUCCUUUACCACACUCCACAUUUCCCUCCAGAAGCUCUUUCAAAGUGGACUCCCUUCCUCCUGAGAGAUGAGGCUCUUUCUUCUGUCAUGUCAGGAGUUUGUGAGUAGCUGCGUUCUGCUGCUAGAACCCCCAAACUCUCUAUGUCUGCCUGUAGGAGAACACAGAGUAAUUCAGCUUCUAAGAUUCGAGACAUAGCAAUGAGGCGCUGCAUAUGACAGUCUGCUUUUCUUG
ensembl:misc_RNA 7SK 7SK RNA